UACGGAGGGUGCAAGCGUUGUUCGGAAUUACUGGGCGUAAAGGGCGCGUAGGCGGCCUGCUAAGUCGGACGUGAAAUCCCUCGGCUCAACCGAGGAACUGCGUCCGAUACUGGUGGGCUUGAAUCCGGGAGAGGGAUGUGGAAUUCCAGGUGUAGCGGUGAAAUGCGUAGAUAUCUGGAGGAACACCGGUGGCGAAGGCGGCAUCCUGGACCGGUAUUGACGCUGAGGCGCGAAAGCUAGGGGAGCAAACGGG
rnacentral:rRNA from 1 species